UGGGGAAAUCUUGCACAAUGGAGGAAACUCUGAUGCAGCGAUGCCGCGUGAGUGAAGAAGGCCUUUGGGUUGUAAAGCUCUUUUGUAGGGGAAGAUAAUGACUGUACCCUAAGAAUAAGGUCCGGCUAACUUCGUG
rnacentral:rRNA from 1 species